rnacentral:tRNA from 1 species
GGGAAGGUGGCUUAGUGGUAGAGUGCUUGCCUUAUAUGCUUGAGGUCCUGGAUUCCUUUCCU